UGAAUACUGAAGGGUUGGUAGGGGACCAGAGAAUAGAGGAAGCAUUGUAGGUUCUAGAGUGGAGAAGGGACCAUCCAAAAUGGAGUUUGAAAGAGAAUUCUGGCCUUUGUGUUUAGAGUCUGGAAUUGUCAAGAGUCUGAAAGCACAGAAUAAGACUGCAGCUAGAGCAAUUUAGGCGCCAUAGUUUGUCAAAACAGAGACGGGAUCUCACUGUGUUGCCCAGGCUGGUCUCGAACUGCUGGACUCAAGUCAUCCUCCCAUCUUGGCCUCCCAAAGUGCUGGAAUUACAGUGGACAACCUUCAAUGCACUGGUACUUUGUACCCUGACCUCUACUGUGAUGAACACUCAACUUGGGCAAGGAAGUGAAAUUCUCCAAAGGAAUUAUUAAGAUAAGGACCAGCAGUACAAUGAGCUUUUCACUGUAUGUCUGACCUGAAAGAAGAAAAUCUUUUCAGAGGACUCCUCUCUCCCCUUCAGUCGCCAAGACAAUGAGAGCUCUUGCUACAGAAUACUCAUGGUCAUUUCUUCCCCUGGCAUUCAUAAACUAACAUGGUUCCCAAGCACUACCUUGUUGGCUGAGAGAGAGUCCCCGCCUGUGUUGGGAGGCAGGCUGAGGGCUGCGACGGCUGCUGUGGUGAUUGCUGCUGCUGCAUGCGAUCCUGCAGGCUCCGUGCUUUUCGAAUACUGAUUUGCAACUUCUUAUCGACUAGGGCUCUGCUGUGCGUGCUACAGCUGGCACCAUGCAGGGCAAGUCUUAGUUUAGCUAAAAUGCAAAAGAAAAUAUAGCAGAAACAGAACACAAAACACAAAUAAAAAUAAAAAGAAUAAAAUUGAAAAAAAA
rnacentral:lncRNA from 1 species